UAGGGAAUAUUGCACAAUGGGCGAAAGCCUGAUGCAGCAACGCCGCGUGAGUGAUGAAGGCCUUCGGGUUGUAAAGCUCUGUCUUUUGGGACGAUAAUGACGGUACCAAAGGAGGAAGCCACGGCUAACUACGUGCCAGCAGCCGCGGUAAUACGUAGGUGGCAAGCGUUGUCCGGAUUUACUGGGCGUAAAGGAUGCGUAGGCGGAUUUUUAAGUGAGAUGUGAAAACCCUAAGCUUAACUUGGGGACUGCAUUUCAUACUGGAAAUCUAGAGUGCGGGAGAGGAGAAUGGAAUUCCUAGUGUAGCGGUGAAAUGCGUAGAGAUUAGGAAGAACACCAGUGGCGAAGGCGAUUCUCUGGACCGUAACUGACGCUGAGGCAUGAAAGCGUGGGUAGCAAACAGGAUUAGAUACCCUGGUAGUCCACGCCGUAAACGAUGAGUACUAGGUGUAGGAGGUAUCGACCCCUUCUGUGCCGCAGUUAACACAAUAAGUACUCCGCCUGGGAAGUACGAUCGCAAGAUUAAAA
rnacentral:rRNA from 1 species